AGGGCUUUCAAAGUUGCGUACUGUUCCAACAUGACCUUCUCCACCAUCCUAAAAUUAUAAAUUUGGGGUUUAUGUUAGUUUAUUUGCACUGGUUGGAUGUAUAGUUGGUAAAUUAUGUUUAGCAGUCCAGGGCCACGAAUUACACGCGCCCCGACGCCCUCCAUCAUAAUUCGGGAUGUGCGAGCAGCACCGGGGUUCGGUCCCACCGCAUUUACCACGUCCAUGAUGAACAAAUUCAACCAACAGUCUACUAUCACUUUAUCAACUUAAAACGAACACCCUUUCACAAAAAUAAGAACACAUGCACUUGCUCGAUGAAAGUCGUUGCUUAUCGCAACAGGUCGGCGUACUGGAAAAUAAUAAAACGUACAUUUAACAUAGGCAACCCAAAAUACACACAACAUAAUUAUACACCAAAAACAUAAAAAUUUACAAUUUUACAUUAAAUAUUUACAAUUAAAGAACGCAUAAUUUAUGUUUUCAUUUGUAUUGAAUGCUUUGUAAUAAUAAACAUAAUGAUAACAUCAACAUGUACUUUGUAGUAAUAAUAAUAUGUAAUAAUAUUUA